CAGUCUAUGCCGCUACAGAUACGAGGCGACACAGGGGGCUGCUCUUAGAACUCACUCAUGUGGAUGACAGCUGGACUUCGACCAAAGAACUACAGACUCUUCACAACCUGCUCAAACUCUUGGUACAGGACCUCACCACACGGGUCAAGAAGGUUUCCGUCUCAUUUCUACUCUGAAGCUCACCUUCUCCAGCUCAAACUGCUGACAAAUGUUUCUGCUGCUCUAAAGUCUGGUCUCCAGAACUUCCUAAAAACUCUCAAAGUCUCUUCUGCUGCAGGCUGCUUUGUAGAACUGUUCCAGAAAACCUCACUAAACCACAUGGAGGGGCCUCAAGAUAGUCGUCCAAAUGAAACCAUACAAAAACCAAACUAGCACAACCCAAACGCUAAAGUUUCCUGCAGCCUACCAGAGAACCUCUUUAAACAGAGAAUCAGGACAGGAACUCUUACCUUCUGGACAACCAACGUUGGUUCACAAACAAGAAUACAGAAUGUGUCUGACCAAAAACCUCUGAAGACUCACUACAGCCAAGAUAAAGACACAACUCAGCUGCACCAUAUCCACUAAUCACUGCACACAUUAGCACCAUGUGCUAACUGUGGCUAAAGAACCACAUUUACCAAGACAACUAUCCAGUACAAAGCCCUAAAACACACCAAGAAACACAUUAAAGACAAUUUUACUGCUGGAAGCUGCAAGCCAACGCCUAAAGAACAAACUAAAGCAAUGGAGCCAAAGUGGUGAAGAGAAGCAGAGGAAAUGUUUGGCUGCAGCUAAAUAAAGCAGGAAGACACUGAGCUGCUCAGGUGUUCCUGAUAACACCAAGCAGCCACCUGGACAGCCAAUAGGAACACAGCUUACUGGAAGUCCAGAGGGCUGGCUUAGUGAAGGAAAUUUAGUUUAAAGUUGAAGCAGAAAGUAAACAAAGAAAGUUGAAAACCACCUUCUGAUACCUGAAAUCUCUGAGUUUUCACACAAAGAACACCUGAACAUGUCAAACUGGUUCCAUAGUAGAACCAUCAUUGUGAAAACGUCAUAGUAUGGUGUGUUGCUCAAAAAAUAUUACGACCCGGCUGUCAGGGGUUGCAGAGGAGCAACACAAAAACAGGACAAACGCUGGUUUCCAGGGGGUUAGGAGGCUAUUUAUUUGAAAGAGUAAGUUUACAACAACACAACAUGUGAGCAGAAAAAUCACAAAGUCUGUCUUUAGUUCAGCUGAAAAUAUUAGUUUUUCUCUUUUUUAUUGACCAAACUUUUCAGGAAGUAGAUGAAGAAUAAUUAAAGCUCUCAUGUAGUAGUCCAAUUUAUUUUGGAUCCUUAUGGAGAGUUUAAUCUUAGAAUUUGUAAAAAUGUUGAGGUUUUAGAGUCACAUGGAUUGUUUUGACAUUUAAUAACCGAGUCCUGAAAUAAAAUUAUAGUUGUGGAUUUCUGUCAUUUAGUCUGGACUAAACAAAUAACAGCAGCAUAAAUCUCAAAUGUCAUUAUGAGGAGUCUGGAUUGAGGUUUCUCACUUGAUAAUGAUCAAAACAUGAAAUUUAGGUUGGUUUAAAGGAAUAUUCCACCUUAAAUCUUUGAAUGUUGACCUAAAAGGUUGGUUUCAGGAAGUAUUCCACCUACAAGGUCCUCACGCAUCCACCUUAAAGGAACAUUCCACCAAAAAUCCUUGGACAUGCACCUAAAAUGUUGGUUUAACCGAGUAUUCCAUCCAAAAUCCUCAAAGAGACCUGAGGGGUUGGUUAAAAGGAAUAUUCCACCUAAAACCUCAAAUAUAGACCCGAAAGGAUGGUUUAUAAAAAAAUCCUUCAAUGUAGACCAAAAAAGUCAGUAUGGAGGAAUAUUCCACCUGAAAUGUAGACCUGAGAAGUUGGUUUGGAAGAAUAUACCUUCCUAAACAUCCUUAAAUGUAGACUAAAAGACGGUUUGGAAGAAAAUUCCACCUAAAAUCCUCCAAUGUAGACCUAAAAGGUGAGUUUAAUGGUAUAUUCCACCUAAAAUUCACUACUGUAGACCUUGGAGGUUGGUCUGAUGGUAUAUUCCACCCAACAUCCUUGAACAUAAACUUAAAAAGUUUGUUCAAAGGAAUAUUUCACCUAAAAUCCUUCAGUGUAGACCAAAAGAAUCUUGGUGUAAAGGAGUAUUCCACCUUAAAUGUAGACCUAAAGGAUGGUUUGGAGUAAUAUUAUAAUCUAAAAUCUUCCAAUGUAGACCUAAAAGGUUGAUCUGAUGGUAUAUUCUACCCAACAUCCUGGAACAUUUACCUAAAAGGUUGGUUUAAUGGUAUAUUCCCAGAAGAACCCUUGAACAUUGGGCUUAAUGGUAUAUUCCACCCAAAAUACUUCUACAUAUACCAAGAAGUCAGUGUAAAGGAAAUGUAGACCUAAAAGGAUUGUUUAAAGGAAUAUUUAAACUAUUAUUUUCAUGAUUUAAUAAUCUGUUAUCAGUCAGAACCCUGGCAAACUUAUUUUCAUCAGUUUUUUUAGUGGAAGUCACAAAUAAAGGAGCUCUUGGUUUUUCCCGGCGUUACUGAGUCCAAAGCUGCUGUUUCAACACAGAACGUUCA
ensembl:lncRNA